CUGCAGCCUGGCCUCCUGCGCCCGGAUCCUGCCGCUGACACUUCCCAUCACACAUCCUUGGACAAGGGUGUGGCCGUGUUAUGCUCUUUGUCUCGUGUGUCACAUGGGAGUCAUAUUGGGGUCCGAUGUGUAUGGCUCCCAGGGCUGGGAGUGAUCAGGCUCUCCUAGGGACUAGGCUCAUCAUUGACCAUGUGCCACCCCAAACACUUGUGUGCUGUGAGCUGACUGCUGGCAGCUAUGGUGGUGUUAUGCAAACGUCUCCUUGGAUUUGGGAGUCGAGUUGAUGUUGAGACAGACAUUCUCUGUCAGUUAUGUGAGUGGGUGUCGGAGCUUAGAGUUUGUGCUGGACUUACAAGGAGACUAGUGAAGUUUGUGGUGCCCACCCGUGGCAUCAUUUCUGUAGCAGCUUCUAGAACAGGAGACCCCAGCCACCAACACCCUUGGAAGACGCUGAUGUCAGGUUGCCAUGCUGAGUGGGGAGUCCUUUCGAUAGUAUCUCACCUCCCUGGUGAUUAGCACAGCCAUCAGGAGUAGUGCAUGCCUGGUGCAUGCAUGUGUUGGGUGCAGCUAGAUGUGAGGAGUGGUGCUCACUCCCAAGAGGCCUAUGGAUACUGGUAUUCCAGCUGUGCUACUAUUUCAUACUUGAGGAGAAAUUAUCCUUGGUGUGUUUGCUCUUUUGGAUGAAUCAUACAAGGAUAAUUUCUUUUUGAGUAUCAAAUGCUGCCCUGGUGGACUUCCUGGAUGACAAGAUGGUUGUUUAAAGAGUUGCAUGGUACAUGAUGCAUGGAUUAGCCUUACCUGGGCAUGAGGCAAGAGAGCACAGAACCGAUGUGUGAGAGGUGCACUCUGAUUCCACCUCAGGAUCUUGCUGGAAGAGUCCUGGGGGUUCCAAAUGGCUUGGUCAUGGUUAGAUAGCACAGUUUUCAAGGCUUAGCAAAUCAUUCUUUUUCAGAUGGGAAGCUAGUCUCAGAGAUAGUCACUGGGGUCAGACCCCUGCCUCUUGCUCGAGAGUGUGACUAGCUCUACAAGCAUGUGCUUGACUCUCAUGGAGUGACACUGGCCUGCUGACCAUUCGCUCUGGAUCUUGAGGGAUCUAAAGGAGCCCCUGACUUCGGAGGAGAUACUGAUGUUUUCUCCAUGCUGUGGUUCUCUGACAUUUAAAGAAUGGUUGUCUGUAGUGUGUUCUCCAUAUUUAUGGUGAUUAAUGUGGGACACCCACUGUUUGUUCCAUAUCUGAAUUUGCUUCAGAAGGUUCUAGAGCACAGUGGUGACUAAAGCUAAUGGACGUUGGUACCUGCUGCAGGAGAGGGAGAAUUUAUUGAGGCUUCUCCUUAACCAAUGCAGUGACCUUGGAACGCACCCCAGCUCCUCAUGUACUCUCACACUGACAGCUUUGGUGGCUUGGUUCUUUGUGCUUGGUCUAGAGGACACUGGGAAUGAUUCACCUGUUGUUUCUGUUAAGUCUUAGUUCAGAGGAAGUCCUUGGGAAGGUACUGGGUCAAGCAUCUCUUUAGGUAGACAGAACUUGGCCAGGGUCUUCUAGGUCCAGCACCCACUCACCUCAGCAUCCAUUCUGAGCACAGACUUCCUGUGGUUCAUACAGAUGCCGCCGCUGCUUUAAGUCAUUCUCUAUCUGUUCCUAUAGCUUAUUCGUGGUAGGCACAAUAUGGCUUCUUUUGGGCUGACCUUUUCUUAGACAUACCUAGUCAAUAGCAUACCAUUUCAGCUCGUUCCAUAACCUGGUGUGUGUGUGUGUGUGUGUGUGUGUGUGUGUGUGUGUGUGUCUGUACACGUGCAUGCAUGCUUGUACAAAUUGUUGGUUAGAGUAGGGGCUCUACAACUUCUCAGUGCUGCUAAGAUAUUCGUCACCUAGGGAUCUUGUUAAAAAGCAGAUUCUGAUUAAGGGACCAAGAUUCUGCAUUUUUAGCAAGCUCUCAAGUGAUGCUAAUGCUGCCGUUCUGUGGACAACACAUGUAGCCUCUGGGGGCUGGAGGUGAUGUUGCAUGUUACCUGUAGUGUGUGUGCUCCAUCUCCUCCAUCCAUCCUACAUCAUCCAUCACAAGUGAGCACUGAGCCAAUAUGCUACCUUUCAAUGAUCCAACGGUGGUCAGUUGUGAAAGGCCACCUUCUGUACAAACACUGUGUGAUUAUUCUUUUAAAUCAAAUUGUGCCUCCAUGGGCUUCCCAGAUAUUAAAGCUACUUCAAGGAGGGGCUGUCUUUGUCAGCCCCCCGUGGGACUUGUCAACAGCAGGUUAUUGAUGACUGAGGCCGUCUGACUCUGUAACCCUCCAUUUCCAGUCAAUUCUAAGGAGCAGUUCCUGGAACCACAGCUUCUGGGGCAGGAGGAGUCCCAUCUGUUGUAUCUACCAGCAACACUCCAUGUUAUCGAAAGAGGUAAUGACCAUGGUGCCAUGGCCCUUUUAUGAUAUUCCACCAGCUGCUGGCUUCUUGUCAUCCAGCUUACCUCUCAGGGAGGACCAGAAUAGAUUUCCAUUUUUUUUCUAAAUUGACCUACCUUAGGAAGCUUCCUGAACCUGGCUUUUGUGGGUAUGGGUUUUUCUGUCCUAACAGAUUUUAGCCCUAGGACCAGUGUGUAGCAGUGACUGGUUAAUGUCAGCUCAUGUGCUUUCUUACAGACUAUGGCAACUCACCUCUUAGAAUCUAGGGGUUCAGUUUGUCAUGAGAAGAAUCUUUCGGAAGCACAGAUGACACUAGACAAGAGGCCCUGGAUUUCCUGUCAGAGCUCUCUGAGGAUAUUUGAGGUCAUUCAUGUUCUGUUUGCUUGUUGUGAAUGAGACAGAGUUAGCUUCCUUGUGAAUAUCAAACUCUGCUUUUUUUUUUGAAGGGCUCCCUGUACAAGAGAUGUGAGUCUGUGUGCCUUGUGUGAGCCUCAGAUGAGCCCUGCAGCUCCUUCAGGAUGCUCCUUGUAUAUUGAUGAUGGAGAAGAUCCAUAGGGAGCUUGUCCUGCUCGCAGUGAACUUGCUGUGCUUUUCCAAAUACCCUUCAUUUCUUCUACCAGUUUUCAAUGCCAGGAUGCGCUUGAAGGGUGAGCUGAUGCCACGACUGUAGCCCUUCCCAGCCAGAUGAUGUAGGCCAAACCCUUUCUGGAUGGCUAGUCAGUGGGAGAAGCCAUGAGAUGCUUGAAAAGUAGUCACAUCUUCCCUGGGGACAGUCUGGUUUUCAGGGUUACAUCCAUUCAAAGGCAUCCCAGUAAUUAGGCUUGUGAAAGACAAGCCAACUUGACCCCGUUCCUUUGUUCUCAUUGAGGUCCUGUCCUUGGCAUCCACCUCCUCCUAUGGUAGACACCAGCAAGGUGCAGACACUAUCCCAUGGGCCUUCCUGUCCUGCUGUUUGGCUCUGGAAGAGACAUGAUUCCUUUCUUUUAUGUGCUGGUGGAGAUCACACGCAAAAGGUAAGGAGAGCCCAGCUUUUUUAGAUUCUGGAAGAGGGAGGUUGGCCUAGAUCCCUGCUAUAAGGAAAGAUGCUGUUCUCUGGGCUUCUCGCCUUCAGGGGUGAUGGCGGUGGUGGACAGGAAGCCCAGCUCCUGCCCCCUGGAUAAUUCUUCCCUUUGUGAUGACCAGUCCUGGAUGGAAUCAGUUCUAGAUGGAUGCCUGCUCCAUAUAAGAGCCCUAUCAGGAUUGGCCUGAGAGAGAAGUGCUAUCAGCUACUAAAAGUGAAUACUAAAUGGCCUGUUUAUGUAAGAGAUUCUCAGAAGGAAGCCCAAAACCCAGGAAGAAAUGAUGGACCAGAAACCACAGGCCAUGCUACUGAAGGUCACAGUCUUCUUUGCCCCAGACUCUUAGCACCCAGGUUACCCCAGUGGGGCCCCCAGAAUUGAGUGCAUGAUAAUCCCCUGCCUCAGACUUCGGGAAUGGGCUACACUGAGCUUUGAGUUUGUUCUUUUUUUUCUUUUUUGAAUCUUUUUAUUUUGUUUUUGUAUGUGUACUUGAAUAUAUGUAUGUGUAACAUAUGCAUGCAAGAGCCUGCAGAAGUCAGAGGAGGACAUUCAUUCCUCUGGAACUAGACUCACAGAUGGUUGUGAGGCAACCUUGUGGGUUCUGGAAACUGAACCCAGUUCUUCCAAAGGUGUAUUUUUCUCCUGAACCAUCUAUUCAGCUGCCCCUACCCCAAAUCCGUGAUUAGCUUUCUUGACACUGAGUCCUAUAAGGGAAUAUUGAUCUUAUUGAGGAAGGACUUCUGACCCCAGCCAGCUCAGUUGUUCACUUGGGUAGAGGGAAGAGCAAGGAGUGUGAGCAAUUCUCCUAAUACUUGGUCCUCAAUCCAUUCGUAGGAAGAUUUGCUGCAUGGUGGAUGGCCCCGAGAAGGCGGGGCUCAUGGAUGGUCACACUUGCUGCUUGCAGAGCAAGUAAUCCCUAUGUUCUUAGCUUUAUUUGUGCCGCUCAUACAAUGAAUGACAAACAAAUUCUCAAUGCUGCUGUAGAGGGCUUUCUGGACUGCAUGGCACCUUCCGUGAGGAGAACUUGGCUUCAGUAGCUAGUCCAGGUAUGUACAAUGACAGUCACACACUUGCAUUAUGGUGUACAGCAGUCCCUGUGCCUCCUGACGAGAGUCUACCACUGAGCAAAGCUUUGCGAUAUUCUGGAGGGUGCUGGUACCAGCACCAAACCAUCUCUGGAGGGACAGAAUCACAUGGCAAAUAAUGCAUUUCCUGCUUUUGGUGAACCCUUGAUGAUUUGCGUGAGUCUGUUGAGACAGGCCAGUAUAAGGGUGUUCUGGUGUUUCCCUGGUAGAAACUUAUCCGUGGGCACUUAAUUGGUCACUCUAACUACUUUUGUUCUAGAGAAAAUUCCUGACAUAUCUUGCUGAAAAAGGCUGUUGGGCUGUCUUGCUUCAUAGUAAGAAGUUUGCUGGGAAAUACCUGAGUCUUGUUUCUGAUGUCUAGCACUUGGCAUGCUCAUCUGCAGGAGACUUGUUAUCCUGACUGUUGCUGGGGAAGGGGUAAUGCCUUCCCAUGACCCUCUUUGGGUAUUUUGAUUUUUUUAAAAAAAAUAAAGUUAAAUUCUCAUUAAUAUCCCAAUUUCAUGCUCCACAAAUUGGUCAACAACAGUGACAAGAGAAUCCAUGUGGCUGUUGUUCAGAUGGUAGAGAGCUGAUAAAGAUAUCACCAGGAUGCGAGAUCUUUCCAACGUGGAAGUGUGGAGACUGUGGAGUGUCUCAAAGUAGCACUAGCAGGUGUACCUAGGGGUUGGGUGAGCCAAUGUCAGAUUGGAGCAAGUGGGAAGAGGAGGGGCCAAAGUUGUGAUGUUGCGGAACCAUGGUUCUCAAGUGACUCAGUGGGCUGCAGAGAGCACCCUGGCUGGGAGGUCUGAAAGGCAGAUAAUAAAGUGAGAAAGUUAUAGGGCCAAUGUUGGGGAUCUUGAUGACACAUCAACAAAUGGGUUGUUACACUGGGAAACAAAAUAGAGGUGGGGCACUACCCACUGCUAGCCAGAACUGUAGGAAAUAAGAUGAUCAAUUUCCAUGUCCUUAGGAGAGAGCCAGGUUUCCAUCAGGGUGAAAGGUAGGGCCAUGGAAAAGAAGUAAAGCCUCGAGAGACUUUGCUAGUGAAAUAUGUCUUGUGGAACCACAGGGGCAAGUGGGACACAGAAGGGUGGCAGACAGGUUAUUACUAGAGCUUUGGGAAGCUACCCUAAGGAAUAGUGAGCUUCCCAGUGGCUAGCCACUAGAAUCUGGAAAUGGUACCUGGUCCUUCUCAUUCAAGGUUGCUUCUAGGAGUUAGGUAAGCCAUUUGUGAUGGUCUCCUUCUUGAAAGUGAUUUCUUGGAGAUGAGAGACAGUGGGAGUGGAAGAUCUCCUGGAAUCAUCAAGAGCUCAGGGAACCUUCUCUUGAUCCAUAUGAGGAAGCUAGUAGCCUUGGUUUGGCUUUUCUGCAAUGAGACAUUUAUAGUCCCCCCCAGGACCUUGAUGUGGCUGGUGUCUAACUAUAUGUGCACCACCGAGAAGUCCAAGUCCCCAUUCACGUACCCCAGGGUUUAUAUACCUGCAGAGGACUCCUGACCUACAGCAAGUGGGCUCCCCUUGUCAUCUUGAAAACCUUCCAGUGGGGACUCUAGAACUAAGGAAGACAGAGAAUGGGGACAAUGUCAGCAUCAUUGCAAGGGAGGUGAGUGGCCACCCCUGCCCCCACUCCAGCGUGUCUCUAGAGCACUUGUCCCCCACCUCACUAACACUCAGCAUCCAAUCUGCCUGCAGGUUGGUGGUUGGAAACCAUAGCCCUUGGAGAAAUGGAAGGGGUCCUUUGUCUGUCUUGUCUCUGCUUUUCUGUGGUACUUGAAGAGAAGUUGUUCGUGGUGGAUUCGCUUUACUUGUGACGAAUCAUUCACGGACAACACUUUUUUCAGUACCAAAUGCUACCUCUAAGGAUUUCCUGGACAUGAUGGCAACUUGCAGAAAGAUGGCGGUUCAGUCAAGCUGGUAGAGAAGCCAAGUAUGGAUGUUUGGCCACGGACAGUAUGCUUGAGCUAGCUGUAAGUCACCUGGUCGGGUUACCUGAGCAUCUGAUCCAUCUGUAGGCCUCUCAUCAGCGGGCCACCACUGUGGCUUUGUGCCCCCCAGUAUCAGCCUACAAGACUGAAAAAAGGUCAUCUUCCAGAAGAGAUGUUGGUGCCAGCACCAUUCAGGGUGUGUGACUGGUUGACCAGAGGGGCGUGCACUCUGUUCACCCUGUGGGCCACCUAGUCACCAACCCUCAGCAUCAAUUCCACCCAAAGAAGACUUCCCAGAGAUCCUGCCAAGUUUGGGGAUAUGUCAAUGGACUUGAUGGCUGUGCCUGUUCAGUGGACCAGGAUGAACUGUGGUCUUAGGGGUGUAUGUUUACAUAAGAUGCCAUGAGGCAUCCGUGGUUGCCGCUGCAUCACUAUCCCAGCCUACUUGAAAUGUUGACUUCAGAUGUGGACAUGAUGUUGACUUCCCAUGAGGGACCUGAAGUCCCUUCUCUCCUGGGUGUGUGAUAAAUUGUACUUUAUUAAGCAUGUGCCCUACUUAUCUGAUGGAUCUGUCUCCUGAUUGUCUAACCUCAAUAUCCUGUCUCUACAGGAGAGUCUGUGAGAUGAUAUCCACCUUGAGAAGUAGUCAUGGUUGUCCUGACAUCACCACACUACCACAGGAGCUUCCAGAAUAUGUUCUCUUCAUGGAAACUGUGGAAUGAAGCCUCCUCUGGACCAGAGGACUAACCAGAUUCAAUGGCAUCGGCAUCUCCCUUCAGGUAAGUGUGCCUCGGGUGAGCAUGCACUUAAUGUAGGUGUAUGUCACUCGGCUCGGCCCACUACCCAAUGCUGUCCCACCCCUUCUUCACAGGACAGUGGAAGCAGUCACCUUUUUGAGAGGGUCGAUGUGUUCUUCGCCAGUGUUCUUCACCAGUGAUCAUGUGUGAUACUUGGAGAGAGGCUGGCCGUGAUGAAUUCGAUUCAUCUAAACGAGUCAUACACGGCUCUCCUCUCUUCUAGUGUCAAACUCUGCCUCAGAGGUCUUCUUGAACCAGUACUGUUCCUAAGGUGGGUUUCUGGAUGGCUGAACCUGUGACCAGUACCUUCAUCCAAUUGCAUAUUUCACACAUUAACCCCAGUGUCCAAGCUAACCCUCAUGUGACUUCCUAGGACAUUUCUGAGUUGUGGAAAGACCAGAGACAUUGUUGGGAGAUUCUGUUUAAAUGUUUAAAUACACUGGCUAGCUUCUGUUUUUAUUAGUACCUAAUUCUACCAUGAAAGAACAACUAGAAGCAGCCUUGGUUAGUUAACCUUCAGGAUACAGAAUAGAGUGGGAACUGGGACAUUGUGAGCCUAUGUUGAGUUAACUGUAGCCAUUUCAUACCCUGAAGUGAAUGAAGUCUUUGGAAGUGAGCUCAGCUUUACCCAGCAUCCCUAGGACAACCUGCUUUGAAAACUUGUGGUAUGGCUCUGCCACUUUUGACUUAGUAAACAUUGCAUGACAAAUGAAAACUCACCUUCCUCUUGGCCCUUUUUUGAGGUCUAGAAACCAGAGGUUGGCCAGAGAGCAUGGGUCUGAUUGGGACUUAAGCCACUUGGUCCACGUAUUCUCAGGGUCCUAUCCACUCUCAGAGGCUCCUCCCAAGGUGCCCCACUGUGAAGAAGAACAGGAGUGCUGUGAGAAGUGCUACUCUCUGGCACUUGGAGGGUGGUUGUCCAUAGUGAGUUUGCAUUAUUUAAUGAUGCCCAACACAGGGUGGACCUCUUUUCUGUAUCACAUCUCACCAGGUGUUUCCUUGGAUCUGAUACCAAUCGUGAGGAGUUGUACCAAUCGUGUUGGGGUUUGUACCAUCAUCCUUGACCAUGUGGUUCCCUCCAGUGUUCUCUGACUCCAUCCACCCCUUCAAGGAGGGCACUGCCAGCACUGAGGAAGAUGCCCAUGUUACACACUUAAGUGGAUGUGGUGCUGCUCAUGGUACCUCUGGCUUUUUUAUCUACUUGUAAAAAAAAGUAGCAAAUUUUGCACCCCCUUCUCUCCACUUAUAGAGUCUUAUAGUCCCUCUACUUAUAGUAGUCUUAUAAAGAGGAAUGGGGCACAAGAGUCAGCAUUUUUAGGGGUAGGGAUAUAAGUGAGUGGGUGAUUUUUCCAUGUCUGUUGGCUGAGAUGUCAGAAGAAAUUUGAGGACAGUAGAACUAUUUCCCGUUUCUUCAUUUUCUUUGUAAAAAGAGGAUUUAUUCUACUUAUUAUUAUUUUAUUAAAAAGAUGUAUGCUCAUGAUAAAAAUAAAAGCAAUAUGAAACAAUUAAAUUAAAGAAAUUAGAAAAGUUUCUACCCACACAUAAAUAACUUCAGGAAUUCCAAACUCCUUUCUGAGAAUUAUAUACAAAUGAAAAGAGAGGUAAAGAGAAAAAUAUUGCACAGGGUAAAUCUACCCUGUGUCUAAUCAUUUCAUUUAAAAUAUAAAUUAUCAUUUCACUUGUGCUUAACCUAAGGAAUGAUUACAGGAAGAUUUACUAGAAAGAUCCCAGCGCAGGUGAGAAAGGCAAAGUCAAAAGCAUUGCUCAGGAGUUGGGGUCAGGCUGUUGCUGCUUCUGACUCCUGUAGACCUGAUGUGCCCCACACAUUGCUUUCUUUACUAUUGCAAUGUGCUUUAAUUUUUUUAUUGAAAGAUGCAAAUGUGACUCUUACAAGUCUUUAAGCUGCUCCUCGAUGUUACAAAGAGCCUUGCUGUUGACCAUUUGUUUGCUUUAGACAGGGACUUCUGUUUCUCAGCUCUUAGUGUAUCUCCCAAUGCAAUGAGAAUUUUUGUCAUUUCUACAAGAGUGGCUCAAAAAUAACUACCCUUCCUCUCCUUUCUGCCCCCUCUCCUUUUCUUUUGUCUUUUCUCCACAAUGGGGUGUGGGGUGGAACCCAGACCUUUACACGUGCACAGAGGAGACUCACUCACUGAGGCAGACCUAAGCUUCUGUUCUUGCUCAUAUUUUUGACCUCUCGACUCCAUAUCCUGGGAAUCUGCAACUAGCACAGCCUCCAGAAUGGUUCACCUAGGUCCCUCAAGGGCAGGGUGAGAUCAUGUUUUGAGUUAAAUUCUCUUUUCCUUAACACACAGGGGUCUUCCUUUCUUUCAGUUGUAGCUGUGCAUUAUACACCAACUAACUUAAGCAGUGGGUGAGUGUCUCCCCAGGAUUUUUAUACAUUUGUGGAGGUUUCCCUAUGUAGUCUUGUUACUACACAAGCUAAAGGUUGGACCUUUAGCUGAACAGUGGAUUAACCUGGGUAACAUCCAUGGCUUCCUUCUCCUUUGCCGUCUGCUGGUCAUAGCCUUAGGAUAGCCUACUUGCUACCUGAUGUUGGACAUUGGUGACUUUACCAAAUGAUAACCCAGCCAUCAGUUUUCCCAUCAGUUUUUUUUCAAUUGUAAUUUUUAUUUCUUCUUUAUUAGAGUUAGUUGUAUCAUUUAAAGGAUGCUCUCUUGGGUUCUUUUCUUGACUUAAAAGAUCCAAGUUAUCUGUUUAGUUCUUUAGUCAGUCCCCUGUCCCCUGAUGCCACCUUCCCUGCAUCCCUCUGGUGUCCUUUGCAUUAUGAAUUUGUUUGGUUAAAGGCAUCAGGCCCCCUUCCUCAUUUUUACUUUCCACCUUGAUAGGAUGCCUAAUUGCAAUGCCAGCUUCUGGGAUGAACCUACUCUCAUGGGGCAAGGUCUAGGAUGGACAUGGACCCACUGUCACUGGAGAGGUUCUGGACUGGACGUGGAUCUGUUGUCAUCGGGAUGGUCCUGGAAUGGAUGUGGACCCACCAUCAUAAGGCAGGUUCUGGGAUGGACAAGGGCCCACUGUCAUUGGGUAGCUAUGUGAACUUACUGUCAACCAAGCAAGUUUUAGUGUUCAUUUCUUUGUUAUCUCAUGUUCAGGGAACCACUAGCUAAAAAGUACAAUCUAUUGUACAGAAGACACUCUGAAAGUUUUCUUACCCCAAGGAAUGAGGCCAUGACUUGAAGGUCAGUGCCAUUUAGUGCUGACCUUAUUUUAUAAUGAGUAUUGCUGAGUCAGCCUCUCUGUGAGCACUCCAGGAAAUCCCUAGACACAAAGCUUAUAUAAGACGAGUGUCAGUUGCCUCAAUUCCAGUGUGAAGCUAGGGACUCUCCACUCCUAUGAUGAACAGGAUAAAAUCUGUGCAUGGAGGACCUCCAUCACCAGACCCUGUAAGGAACUUUAGACACUGCAUCUUUGCAGUGGCACCAAGGCCAGAUGACCAUGGGCUUCAGGGGGAAUGGGUUGAACGUGGGGUGUGUGAUGCCUUCUCAAGCCCUCUCGCAGUCAAUGCAGUAACCUGCUGUGUUCACUGUGCUUGGGGGACUUCCUGGAGGAAGCCAGCUUCAGAGAAGAGAUGCUGGUACCCAUGUGCGGUGCUUGAAGAUAGGUUAUCCGUGUUGCCUUCGCUUUAUUCGUGACGAAUCAUACACGGUUGACCUAUUUUUCAGUACCAAAUCCCGCCUUGGAGGAAUUUCUGGGGUGGGACUGUGGUGUUAGCGUCUCUCCAGGGUAAGUGAAGGAAUAUUCACCAUGGUGGAUCUAUUAAGAGGAAUGCUGUCCAUACCCAGUGUGUCCCUGGUUCUCUGGUGGACUUAGGGAGGGAGGGACCUACUUUGGAAUGAGGUGGAAUGUACUGUAGUCAUUCACUUUAUCACUUUGACAAAUCACAUAUAGUCCACCUUCUAAGGUGUAAAAUGUGGCCCUCAAGCACCGUAGGGAAAGGUCAAGGUCAGAACUAGGAAUUGUGUUCACGGCAUCUAUCAGGAUGUUUACAUCAGCUCCUCUGGCCAUGCCAUCUGGAUAGUUGUGCUCGCUGGUAUUGUUCUGAUAAGAAGCCUUCCCACUGUUCUCUAGGAUGCACCUAUGUGGGUGUGGCUAGCUCCACUGUGAUAGCUUCUUCUGGACCGUGACAUUAACCAUAGGCAGGAGACAAGAAAUGCCCCUAGACCACGUGGCAUGUGUUCUAUGACUAGAAUAUGUAGCCAUUUGCCCAACUCUCAGGGACUCCAUCUUUAGACCUGCUGCCUGAGAUGUACCAACACAAGCUCUCGAAAUCAAGUGUUCGAAUGGAGGUUGUCCAUGGUGUGUUCAUUUUAUUUAUGAUGAGUAUUACAUGGCCAAUCUCCUUUCGGCACUAAAAUCUUCCUGGGAGAGCUUCUCCGACUGUGCGGGUUAAGGAAAUAAAUUGUUCCCUGUAGUAAGUGCUUUUCCUGGGACUUAUGUCACCUGGUUGUCAAAGUAAGAUUUCCCAGAAAUGACACCGACUAUUUCAGUGACUGUGGUUGUCUGGCCAUGGCUGUAGAGCAUAGUACAACAUGUCAAGCACUGUGUUUAGAUGAGAAAACAUCACAGAGUUAGGCAUGCUACAGGGAAGAACAAAUUUCAGUCCAUUUUCACCAGUCUCACCAGUCCAGGGGUGAUCUCUAGGAAGUAGAACCAGCGGUCAGGCUGGUGAAUGGGGAGAGGUGUUUCAGAGUGACAUUUAGUGAUAUAAGAAUGCUGGUGUCCUUUCUCUGCUCCAGUGUCCCUUGGGAAGGAGAGGACUCAGCAGCAUGCAUUGCCACCUGAUGCUUACUAAUGGUGUGACCUUGAAUGAGUCAGCCUGUCAUCUGUCUGUGCCUCCGUUUGUCUGUCUGAGAGUGUUAAUGGCUGCUUAUAAGGUAUGUAUCCACGCUGAAUGUGUGUUCGGUAUUUUGAUAGUGACUGGUUUCCCCCCAGAAAGUUGGAAACCCAUUGGCAUUUCUAAUGAUGGUCAUUGCAUGAAUGUAGUUCCUGUGGAUCUCUUCCCACCCUCUGGAACACAGUUCCCUUGACCUCAGCAGCCUCCUCUGAUGCUCAUGGGUGCAACGGCACGAAUGAUGCUGAAUGCAUGGCAGUUUGACAUGUCUGCUUUGUUGAACCCUCUUUGCGGCUUCUCAGAAGCCAGAGAGAAUGGAGGACGGUCUGGAAGCCUUGUACCCUGAUGCUGCUGGUUUGUCUGUGGGGUCUUGCCGUCCUCUCAGGAUGCUGCCUUGGAAAGGGAGUUAUCUACCUUUAGGUCCACUUUCAUUGGUGGGCAGGAUGGACCCUCCUACACAAAGAGUCAUGGUUUCUUCUAUGUCAAACCUACCUCAGGACUUCUCUGGGAGAGACACUUUGGGAUUCAGACUUGAUGUUCAUGUGCUUCUGGGUGAGUGACCAGUUUCUAGCCAAAGCCUGGACAUCUGUACAAAUCUCUGUCCACCUGUAGGCAGGAUAGAGCUUUGCAAGCUAGUCCAUGUGCCUUGCAGUUGGACCUGGAGCCUCAUCAGAGGUAACGCCAGCCUCCCUAGAGGGUGGGAGUCAGGGAGCCAGAGCCGAGGGAGGCAGUGCUGCCUGGGGAAGAGGCGCCCUGCACUACUCUCGGCCUGUGCUGACGUUUGAUUCUUGAGCAGAAGUUGCCCUUGGUGAAUUCGCUUUAUUGAUGUUGAAUCACACAAAGGCAGCUUUUGUUUGAGUAUCAAAGCCUGCUUGGGGUGGUACUGGGGACAAGACACAAAGUUCUGGGUCUCUGUUUAUGUCUUGUGCUAGAAUGGAAGGUGUGGAUAUGCGUAAGGGCAGGUAGGAGCAUGGCUUAGAGAAUACAAUGGGAUAGACGUGUAGCCCCAGGAACCCAUGAAGAGAUGCCAGGGAUGCCAGUGUCUACUCCACAGCUCUUCUUGGCCUGAAUCCUCUUUGUCACACCAGCCCCUAAGGCCCCCUAGGACCCCUAGGACCCCUAGUUGCAGACACACUAGCUGUUCUAUCUCUACUCUGAAGACACCUUGACUAAAUGAACUCUGUCCUUUGACAGUGUCAAGGACAAUGGCAACCUUCCCUCCCCACCCCCUUCCCCUCCUUGACUCACUGGGUCCAGAGUACUCACAUACCAUCUGUUUUCUUCCCUCCCGCCCAACCCCCUCAACCCACCUCUGUCUGCUUCUCUUUCUUCCUCUUCACUCACCAAACCUUGUUCUCCAUUUUUGGAUGGGUUAGGAAAUGAAUAGAGGCGAUCAGCAUUUCAUCCCGUUUACAUUAAAUAAUAGUGAUAAAAUAAUCACAAAAUAACACCACAAACUACCAGAAUGGCUCGGAGGAAAAUGUGUUCAAUUGACUACAAAUUGGCAGAAGAAUCCAAUUUUCUUGACAACAUUUUAGCUACGACAUUUGACCUGGGGAAACAGUGCUCAGUAGACAUGGCAGCCGCAAGGGGCAGCUUCUAUAGUGGCGGAUGCUGUGAGCAGUAAUAUUUGUGGUAGAUGAACGCACAUUGAGGAAUCAAAUCUUCGUUCAGAUUUUUAAAUGGGAAAGAAUUGAUCCUAAUGAAAAUGAUUUGAGGAAAUAACAAGGGAAAUAAAAGAAAUGAAAAUGGCCCAACAGCACAGUCAAGGAAGCUAAACAGGGAAUUGGAUUAGUUUAAUGGAAUUUACUUUACAAAAAAAAAAAAGUAAAGAAAAGCAUGUUUUUUAUGAAAAUCAAUUCAGGUGUGGUUUUUGGUCAGAUGGGGAAAUCCAUGGGUUUAGACUAGGGCUACUGGGGCAGUAGGAAGCCUGGUCACCGUGCAGGUUUUCCAUGUGGCUAAACUUUAUUUUCCCAUCCCAACCCUUUCCAGAGAGCUUCCUAUCCAGAUGUGCUGACUGAGUAUUAGCAAGCUGGUGAGGGCCAUCUGGAGCAUGUGACUGGGUUCCAAAGCCAAAGCAUGUACCCAAUGAGACGUCUUCUUCGCUUUCCUCUAUCCUCAUGAGACAGUUUGGGAUCUUAACCUUGAAGCACCUCAGAGGCUACAUCGUUGUCUUGGGGCUGGUCAGUGGCUGGAGCUCUCUCCAGGACAGGUGCUUGGAGAAAGAACCUGGACAAGCUUCCCCGUGCUGCUGACUGGAUCUUGUAUCUACUGUUAGCCACCACCCUCGCCACUGUGUGGCUCUUAGGAGCAUUUCCAGGAGGGGAUGUCAGCUGGGGGAAGAGGC